GGGGGACAGGUGGGGAGGAAGACUUGCCCUGAGCUAACAUCUGUUGCCAAUCUUCCUCCUUUUUUACUUAAGGAAGAUUAGCCCUGAACUAACAUCUGUGCCAAUCUUCCUUUAUUUUGUAUAUGGGUUACUGCCUCAGCAUGGUUGAUGAGUGGUGUAGGUCCACGCCUGGGAUCUGAACUUGCAAAACCAGGGCCACCGAAGUGGAGCGCACCGAACUUCACCACCACGCCACGGGGUUGGCUCACUAAUUCUCUUUGAACAUUGAUUUUGUUCCCACCACAGAGUUCCCAACAGGACAUCGCACAGCUUUAGUAACCGAUGGCUUUUCUAUUCAAGUUCCUGACCGACUGCCCAGGAGGUAGAUUGUUGCUUCUCCUUGUGCUGAAAAGUGCCGGCUUAGCAGCUUUUCUAUCACAGUCUUCAGAUGGUCCAAAGAAACAAAGCCAGACGCUCCUUCUCAUAGAGCAGAGGAUAAAACCGAGCUUGUGUGCAAAGAAGAAUGAAAAAUGCCUGUUAUCUCCUGCAGGCUGCAGAAUGAUGUAUGUUCCUGGGGGUAACCUGCUACCUCGGAAUUAGUCAUUCCACAUCGUGUGCUCUCUGCUGCUUGAAGUGCCUCAUUUUAAAAAUGUUGGGAUUCUUUUCCCCUCUCACUUAACUGUAGGAACAUUAAAUGCACA
rnacentral:lncRNA from 1 species